rnacentral:rRNA from 1 species
UUAAAUUGAAGAGUUUGAUCAUGGCUCAGAUUGAACGCUGGCGGCAGGCCUAACACAUGCAAGUCGAACGGUAGCACAGAGAGCUUGCUCUCGGGUGACGAGUGGCGGACGGGUGAGUAAUGUCUGGGAAACUGCCUGAUGGAGGGGGAUAACUACUGGAAACGGUGGCUAAUACCGCAUAACGUCGCAAGACCAAAGAGGGGGACCUUCGGGCCUCUUGCCAUCAGAUGUGCCCAGAUGGGAUUAGCUUGUUGGUGAGGUAACGGCUCACCAAGGCGACGAUCCCUAGCUGGUCUGAGAGGAUGACCAGCCACACUGGAACUGAGACACGGUCCAGACUCCUA